AAACUAUGUUUAGGUUUAACAAACAAUUAAAGAAUUACAAUAAAGUACUUGAACACUUAUUAACUCUCAAGUCAGUGUUUUCCCUACUACAGUAAAAUGCUGUUUAGCUUCUAUCCCUUCCUCCACCUUCCAGAUUUUUCUUUUAAGGCCUUUUCUAAGUUAUACUGCAUAUCAAACUUCCCUAUUAUUGAAGGAUAUAAGGUAGAAGGUAAAAGCCAUUUUCCGAUAAGUAACUUGGGCAUUUGCAAAGGUUUUUCUCAAGUACGGUUGUAACUAUACUAAAAUAUACUAAUAUUGUGUUAUGAUAUACCUUGCUUUUUUUCUUUUCUUUUUUCUUUUGAGACAGAGUUUUGCUCUU
rnacentral:lncRNA from 1 species